UGGGCACUCUAAGGAGACUGCCGGUGGACAAACCGGAGGAAGGUGGGGAUGACGUCAAGUCAUCAUGGCCCUUACGGCCUGGGCUACACACGUGCUACAAUGGUCGGUACAAAGGGUUGCCAAGCCGCGAGGUGGAGCUAAUCCCAUAAAACCGAUCGUAGUCCGGAUCGCAGUCUGCAACUCGACUGCGUGAAGUCGGAAUCGCUAGUAAUCGUGAAUCAGAAUGUCACGGUGAAUACGUUCCCGGGCCUU
rnacentral:rRNA from 1 species